rnacentral:rRNA from 1 species
UACAGAGGUCUCAAGCGUUGUUCGGAUUCAUUGGGCGUAAAGGGUGCGUAGGCGGCGCGGUAAGUCGGGUGUGAAAUCUCGGAGCUUAACUCCGAAACUGCAUUCGAUACUGCCGUGCUUGAGGACUGGAGAGGAUCGCGGAAUUCCCGGUGUAGAGGUGAAAUUCGUAGAUAUCGGGAGGAACACCAGUGGCGAAGGCGGCGAUCUGGGAACAUACUGACGCUGAGGUGCGAAAGCGUGGGGAGCAAACAGG